UUCCGUGACGUCAGGCGCUCAAGGCCAUCUGCGCACGCGCUCUGCCAGAAGGGGCGGGGAAGAGCUCCGUGGUUGGCUCACAAGUAAGAAAGUAAACAUAAAAAAGUGAAAACAACUGGUUAUCCAAAGUCCCACCUGAUGCCCUUGACACACAUCUCACUGGAGAGAGCUCCUGGUAACCAUCAUUCCAAUCUUUGAUUUUAUGCAUUUGACCAUUUUAGGUACCUCAUGACCUAGGAACAAUACCUUUGAAAUAUAAUCAUCAAGGAAGGUAACACCUAUAUUUCCCAGUUUCUGUGAGAGCCCAACCAUGAGCAAGUUGCAAAACUACCACCUGUCAUAGAGAGCCUAAUGCAUGGAGGCUAAACAAUAUGCUACUAAACACCAAUGGAUCACUGAAGAAAUCAAAGAAGAAAUUAAUAAAGUACCCAGAAACAAAUAAAAAUGAAAACACAGUGAUCCAAAAUCUAUGGGAUAUAGCAAAAGCAGUUCUAAGAGAAGAGGUUAUAGUGAUACAAGCCUACUUCAGGAAACAAGAAAAAUAUCACAUAAACAAUGUAACCUUCCAUCUAUGAAGCAGAAAAAAAACAAACAAAACCCAAAGUUAGAAGGAAAGAAAUCAUAAAAAUCAGAAUAGAAAUAAAUGAAAUAGAAACAAGCAAAAAUUACAAAAGCUCAAUGAAAGUAAGAGCCGUUUCUUUGAAAAGAUAAAGAAAAGUGAUAACCUUUAGCCUGACUCAUCAAGAAAAAAAAAAAAAGGCCCAAAUCAAUAAAAUCAGAAAUGAAAAAGAAGAGGUUACAACCAACACCACAGAAAUACAAGGGAUCAUUAAGAGAUUACUAUGAAUAAUUACUUGCCAAUAAAGUGGACAACCUAGAAGAAAAGGUCAAAUUCCCAGAAAUGUAUAAUCUCCAAAGACUGAAUCAGAAAGAAAUAGAAAAUAUGAACAGACCAAUUGCCAGUAAUGAAAUUGAAUUAGUAAUUUUAAAAAUCCCCAUAAACAAAAUUCCAGGACCAGAUGGUUUCUACCAAAUAUUUAGAGAAGAUUUAACACCCAUCCUUCUCAAACAAUUCCAAAAAAAUGCAGAAGAAGGAACACUUCUGAACUCAUUCUAUGAGGCGAGCAUCAUCCUAUUAGAAACAUCUAAAUCCUAGUAACAACGUGUAAAUAAGGGGAUGGAUGAAGAUGUUUUAGGCAGUUGCAAACUGACAAGUUGGCAAUCAUAAUUAAAAUAGGUAAAGUUGAAUUCAAAUUAAAAGUAUUAAUUGGGGCUGUUAAAUUAACAGCUAAAACCAGACAACGAUAUCACACACACA